rnacentral:rRNA from 1 species
AUUGAACGCUGGCGGCAGGCCUAACACAUGCAAGUCGAACGAGUGGCGGACGGGUGAGUAAUGUCUGGGAAACUGCCUGAUGGAGGGGGAUAACUACUGGAAACGGUAGCUAAUACCGCAUACCAUCAGAGGUGCCCAGAUGGGAUUAGCUAGUUGGUGGGGUAACGGCUCACAAAGGCGACGAUCCCUAGCUGGUCUGAGAGGAUGACCAGCCCAACUGGAACUCAGACACGGUCCAGCCUCCUCUGGGCGGCAGCAGUGGGGAAUAUUGCACAAGGGGCGCAAGCCUGAUGCAGCCAUGCCGGGUGUAUGAAGAGGGCCUUCGGGUUGUAAAGUACUUUCAGCGGGGAGGCGUUACCCGCAGAAGAAGCACCGGCUAACUCCGUGCCAGCAGCCGCGGUAAUAC